rnacentral:rRNA from 1 species
GCUUGUCUCAAAGAUUAAGCCAUGCAUGUCUCAGUAUAAGCUUUUACACGGCGAAACUGCGAAUGGCUCAUUAAAACAGUUAUCGUUUCUUUGGUGGUUAUUGAUUACAUGGAUAACCGUGGUAAUUCUAGAGCUAAUACAUGCGUCAAAACCCGACUCCUGGGAGGGUUGUAUUUAUUAGAUGGAAACCAAUGCGGGGCAACCCGGUAUAUGGUGAUUCAUAAUAACUUUCGGAUCGAUCUUCGGAUCGAUGCAUCAUUCAAGUUUCUGCCCUAUCAGCUUUGGAUGGUAGGGUAUUGGCCUACCAUGGCUUUAACGGGUAACGGAGAAUUAGGGUUCGAUUCCGGAGAGGGAGCCUGAGAAAUGGCUACCACAUCCAAGGAAGGCAGCAGG